rnacentral:rRNA from 1 species
UGAUCCUGGCUCAGGACGAACGCUGGCGGCGUGCUUAACACAUGCAAGUCGAACGGAAAGGCCUACCACCUUUGGUGGUGGGUACUCGAGUGGCGAACGGGUGAGUAACACGUGGGUGAUCUGCCCCGCACUGUGGGAUAAGCCUGGGAAACUGGGUCUAAUACCACAUACGACCAUGGCGUAGGGGUCAUGGUGGAAAGCUUUUGCGGUGUGGGAUGAGCCCGCGGCCUAUCAGCUUGUUGGUGGGGUAAUGGCCUACCAAGGCGGCGACGGGUAGCCGGCCUGAGAGGGUGGACGGCCACAUUGGGACUGAGACACGGCCCAGACUCCUACGGGAGGCAGCAGUGGGGAAUAUUGCACAAUGGGCGCAAGCCUGAUGCAGCGACGCCGCGUGGGGGAUGGAAGGCCUUCGGGUUGUAAACUCCUUUCGCCCGGGACGAAGCCCACCUGGUGGGUGACGGUACCGUGGAGAAGAAGCACCGGCUAACUACGUGCCAGCAGCCGCGGUAAUACGUAGGGUGCAAGCGUUGUCCGGAUUUACUGGGCGUAAAGAGCUCGUAGGUGGUGUGUCGCGUCGUCUGUGAAAUUCCGGGGCUUAACUCCGGGCGUGCAGGCGAUACGGGCACGACUAGAGUGCUGUAGGGGUAACUGGAAUUCCUGGUGUAGCGGUGAAAUGCGCAGAUAUCAGGAGGAACACCGAUGGCGAAGGCAGGUUACUGGGCAGUUACUGACGCUGAGGAGCGAAAGCAUGGGGAGCGAACAGGAUUAGAUACCCUGGUAGUCCAUGCUGUAAACGGUGGGCGCUAGGUGUGGGCUGUGUGUUUGCAGUCUGUGCCGUAGCUAACGCAUUAAGCGCCCCGCCUGGGGAGUACGGCCGCAAGGCUAAAACUCAAAGGAAUUGACGGGGGC